rnacentral:rRNA from 1 species
GAUGAACGCUGGCGGCGUGCUUAACACAUGCAAGUCGAACGAUGAAGCCCAGCUUGCUGGGUGGAUUAGUGGCGAACGGGUGAGUAACACGUGAGUAACCUGCCCUUAACUCUGGGAUAAGCCUGGGAAACUGGGUCUAAUACCGGAUAGGAGCGUCCACCGCAUGGUGGGUGUUGGAAAGAUUUAUCGGUUUUGGAUGGACUCGCGGCCUAUCAGCUUGUUGGUGAGGUAAUGGCUCACCAAGGCGACGACGGGUAGCCGGCCUGAGAGGGUGACCGGCCACACUGGGACUGAGGCACGGCCCAGACUCCUACGGGAGGCAGCAGUGGGGAAUAUUGCACAAUGGGCGCAAGCCUGAUGCAGCGACGCCGCGUGAGGGAUGACGGCCUUCGGGUUGUAAACCUCUUUCAGUAGGGAAGAAGCGAAAGUGACGGUACCUGCAGAAGAAGCACCGGCUAACUACGUG